GAGUCUGUAGCUCAGUUGGAUAGAGCAACGGCCUUCUAAGCCGUAGGUCGAGGGUUCGAAUCCCCCCAGGCUCG
rfam:Clostridium sp. D5 genomic scaffold supercont1.1, whole genome shotgun sequence.